GUGAAAUUUAUUUAGUUCUGGUUAUGGGAGAAGUGCUGGGCACCAGUCACAUAAGAAGUUUGUAUGAAGUUGUGCAUAGAGAGAUGUUGUACUUUUAGUGACGGAUUCUUGUUUUUGAGGUAGUUCAGAAUAGGGUGUUCUAGCGGGAAAUGGUCAAUUCUCAGUGCCAGCCUCCGCGGUUAUUCUGUGGUUUCGUUCUUCCUAUCAGUUAAAAUUUUCUAGAAGUGAGUGUGUGAAGGUUAAGGUAGAAUUUUCUUUGCUUGGUAUAGAGCUUUUAAGAUGUGUGUAGAUUUCUUUUAUAAAAGAGGAUUAGAUACCCUCGUAUAGGAGAGGUUGAAUUUUGGUGUCUGUAGUGUGAACUAAAAGAAUUUGGCAGCCGAUGAAGUUCGUCCGGGGGAGUGUGUUCUUUAAAAAGACGAUCCGCUUAAUAGUUUACCUUUUUGAUUGGUUAGUGUAUAUCCGGUUUAAGAUCCGUAAUUAGUGUUGCGGGUGGAGAUAUUUGGGUAUUUAAUCCAGGUCUUUGUGCUGCUGAUGGAAAGGGUGGUAAAUGCGCUACAUUGUUAAAAGGCUUUGGUGUGAAUUCUAAGUGUAUUUAGGACUCGGUAGUAGGGAGGAAUUAGUUUGUCUUUUCGAAGAGGAUUUAGUUGGGGUACACACCGCCCGUCACUCAGGGCGUUAGCUCUGAUAAGUCGUAACAUGGUAAUGUUGGGGGAACCGAACGUUAGUAAAUUCAUUGUGUAUUGAUGGGUUU
rnacentral:ncRNA from 1 species